CUCGCAUGAGAGAUAUUUAAAGGUUGGUUAUGCUAACACUAUGAAAGAUGGCUUUUGCGGUGCAUUAGCUAGUUGGUGGGGUAAAGGCCCACCAAGGCGACGAUGCAUAGCCGACCUGAGAGGGUGAUCGGCCACACUGGGACUGAGACACGGCCCAGACUCCUACGGGAGGCAGCAGUAGGGAAUCUUCCGCAAUGGGCGAAAGCCUGACGGAGCAACGCCGCGUGAGUGAAGAAGGAUUUCGGUUCGUAAAGCUCUGUUGUUAGGGAAGAAUGGAUAUGUAGUAACUAUACAUAUAAGAGACGGUACCUAACCAGAAAGCCACGGCUAACUACGUGCCAGCAGCCGCGGUAAUACGUAGGUGGCAAGCGUUGUCCGGAAUUAUUGGGCGUAAAGCGCGCGCAGGUGGUUUAAUAAGUCUGAUGUGAAAGCCCACGGCUCAACCGUGGAGGGUCAUUGGAAACUGUUAAACUUGAGUGCAGGAGAGAAAAGUGGAAUUCCUAGUGUAGCGGUGAAAUGCGUAGAGAUUAGGAAGAACACCAGUGGCGAAGGCGGCUUUUUGG
rnacentral:rRNA from 1 species